rnacentral:rRNA from 1 species
GGAAAGGCGCGCGAUACAGGGUGACAGCCCCGUACACAAAAAUGCACAUGCUGUGAGCUCGAUGAGUAGGGCGGGACACGUGGUAUCCUGUCUGAAUAUGGGGGGACCAUCCUCCAAGGCUAAAUACUCCUGACUGACCGAUAGUGAACCAGUACCGUGAGGGAAAGGCGAAAAGAACCCCGGCGAGGGGAGUGAAAAAGAACCUGAAACCGUGUACGUACAAGCAGUGGGAGCCUCUUAAUGGGGUGACUGCGUACCUUUUGUAUAAUGGGUCAGCGACUUAUAUUCUGUAGCAAGGUUAACCGAAUAGGGGAGCCGAAGGGAAACCGAGUCUUAACUGGGCGUUAAGUUGCAGGGUAUAGACCCGAAACCCGGUGAUCUAGCCAUGGGCAGGUUGAAGGUUGGGUAACACUAACUGGAGGACCGAACCGACUAAUGUUGAAAAAUUAGCGGAUGACUUGUGGCUGGGGGGGAAAGGCCAAUCAAACCGGGAGAUAGCUGGUUCUCCCCGAAAGCUAUUUAGGUAGCGCCUCGUGAAUUCAUCUCCGGGGGUAGAGCACUGUUUCGGCAAGGGGGUCAUCCCGACUUACCAACCCGAUGCAAACUGCGAAUACCGGAGAAUGUUAUCACGGGAGACACACGGCGGGUGCUAACGUCCGUCGUGAAGAGGGAAACAACCCAGACCGCCAGCUAAGGUCCCAAAGUCAUGGUUAAGUGGGAAACGAUGUGGGAAGGCCCAGACAGCCAGGAUGUUGGCUUAGAAGCAGCCAUCAUUUAAAGAAAGCGUAAUAGCUCACUGGUCGAGUCGGCCUGCGCGGAAGAUGUAACGGGGCUAAACCAUGCACCGAAGCUGCGGCAGCGACACUAUGUGUUGUUGGGUAGGGGAGCGUUCUGUAAGCCUGCGAAGGUGUACUGUGAGGUAUGCUGGAGGUAUCAGAAGUGCGAAUGCUGACAUAAGUAACGAUAAAGCGGGUGAAAAGCCCGCUCGCCGGAAGACCAAGGGUUCCUGUCCAACGUUAAUCGGGGCAGGGUGAGUCGACCCCUAAGGCGAGGCCGAAAGGCGUAGUCGAUGGGAAACAGGUUAAUAUUCCUGUACUUGGUGUUACUGCGAAGGGGGGACGGAGAAGGCUAUGUUGGCCGGGCGACGGUUGUCCCGGUUUAAGCGUGUAGGCUGAUUUUCCAGGCAAAUCCGGAAAAUCAAGGCUGAGGCGUGAUGACGAGGCACUACGGUGCUGAAGCAACAAAUGCCCUGCUUCCAGGAAAAGCCUCUAAGCAUCAGGUAACAUCAAAUCGUACCCCAAACCGACACAGGUGGUCAGGUAGAAAAUACCAAGGCGCUUGAGAGAACUCGGGUGAAGGAACUAGGCAAAAUGGUGCCGUAACUUCGGGAGAAGGCACGCUGAUAUGUAGGUGAAGUCCCUCGCGGAUGGAGCUGAAAUCAGUCGAAGAUACCAGCUGGCUGCAACUGUUUAUUAAAAACACAGCACUGUGCAAACACGAAAGUGGACGUAUACGGUGUGACGCCUGCCCGGUGCCGGAAGGUUAAUUGAUGGGGUUAGCGGUAACGCGAAGCUCUUGAUCGAAGCCCCGGUAAACGGCGGCCGUAACUAUAACGGUCCUAAGGUAGCGAAAUUCCUUGUCGGGUAAGUUCCGACCUGCACGAAUGGCGUAAUGAUGGCCAGGCUGUCUCCACCCGAGACUCAGUGAAAUUGAACUCGCUGUGAAGAUGCAGUGUACCCGCGGCAAGACGGAAAGACCCCGUGAACCUUUACUAUAGCUUGACACUGAACAUUGAGCCUUGAUGUGUAGGAUAGGUGGGAGGCUUUGAAGUGUGGACGCCAGUCUGCAUGGAGCCGACCUUGAAAUACCACCCUUUAAUGUUUGAUGUUCUAACGUUGGCCCCUAAUCGGGGUUGCGGACAGUGUCUGGUGGGUAGUUUGACUGGGGCGGUCUCCUCCUAAAGAGUAACGGAGGAGCACGAAGGUUGGCUAAUCCUGGUCGGACAUCAGGAGGUUAGUGCAAUGGCAUAAGCCAGCUUGACUGCGAGCGUGACGGCGCGAGCAGGUGCGAAAGCAGGUCAUAGUGAUCCGGUGGUUCUGAAUGGAAGGGCCAUCGCUCAACGGAUAAAAGGUACUCCGGGGAUAACAGGCUGAUACCGCCCAAGAGUUCAUAUCGACGGCGGUGUUUGGCACCUCGAUGUCGGCUCAUCACAUCCUGGGGCUGAAGUAGGUCCCAAGGGUAUGGCUGUUCGCCAUUUAAAGUGGUACGCGAGCUGGGUUUAGAACGUCGUGAGACAGUUCGGUCCCUAUCUGCCGUGGGCGCUGGAGAACUGAGGGGGGCUGCUCCUAGUACGAGAGGACCGGAGUGGACGCAUCACUGGUGUUCGGGUUGUCAUGCCAAUGGCACUGCCCGGUAGCUAAAUGCGGAAGAGAUAAGUGCUGAAAGCAUCUAAGCACGAAACUUGCCCCGAGAUGAGUUCUCCCUGACUCCCUGAGAGUCCUGAAGGAACGUUGAAGACGACGACGUUGAUAGGCCGGGUGUGUAAGCGCAGCGAUGCGUUGAGCUAACCGGUACUAAUGAACCGUGAGGCUUAACCUU